rnacentral:rRNA from 1 species
CAGUCGUACGCUUCUUUUUCACCGGAGCUUGCUCCACCGGAAAAAGAAGAGUGGCGAACGGGUGAGUAACACGUGGGUAACCUGCCCAUCAGAAGGGGAUAACACUUGGAAACAGGUGCUAAUACCGUAUAACAAUCGAAACCGCAUGGUUUUGAUUUGAAAGGCGCUUUCGGGUGUCGCUGAUGGAUGGACCCGCGGUGCAUUAGCUAGUUGGUGAGGUAACGGCUCACCAAGGCUACGAUGCAUAGCCGACCUGAGAGGGUGAUCGGCCACAUUGGGACUGAGACACGGCCCAAACUCCUACGGGAGGCAGCAGUAGGGAAUCUUCGGCAAUGGACGAAAGUCUGACCGAGCAACGCCGCGUGAGUGAAGAAGGUUUUCGGAUCGUAAAACUCUGUUGUUAGAGAAGAACAAGGAUGAGAGUAACUGUUCAUCCCUUGACGGUAUCUAACCAGAAAGCCACGGCUAACUACGUGCCAGCAGCCGCGGUAAUACGUAGGUGGCAAGCGUUGUCCGGAUUUAUUGGGCGUAAAGCGAGCGCAGGCGGUUUCUUAAGUCUGAUGUGAAAGCCCCCGGCUCAACCGGGGAGGGUCAUUGGAAACUGGGAGACUUGAGUGCAGAAGAGGAGAGUGGAAUUCCAUGUGUAGCGGUGAAAUGCGUAGAUAUAUGGAGGAACACCAGUGGCGAAGGCGGCUCUCUGGUCUGUAACUGACGCUGAGGCUCGAAAGCGUGGGGAGCAAACAGGAUUAGAUACCCUGGUAGUCCACGCCGUAAACGAUGAGUGCUAAGUGUUGGAGGGUUUCCGCCCUUCAGUGCUGCAGCUAACGCAUUAAGCACUCCGCCUGGGGAGUACGACCGCAAGGUUGAAACUCAAAGGAAUUGACGGGGGCCCGCACAAGCGGUGGAGCAUGUGGUUUAAUUCGAAGCAACGCGAAGAACCUUACCAGGUCUUGACAUCCUUUGACCACUCUAGAGAUAGAGCUUCCCCUUCGGGGGCAAAGUGACAGGUGGUGCAUGGUUGUCGUCAGCUCGUGUCGUGAGAUGUUGGGUUAAGUCCCGCAACGAGCGCAACCCUUAUUGUUAGUUGCCAUCAUUCAGUUGGGCACUCUAGCAAGACUGCCGGUGACAAACCGGAGGAAGGUGGGGAUGACGUCAAAUCAUCAUGCCCCUUAUGACCUGGGCUACACACGUGCUACAAUGGGAAGUACAACGAGUCGCGAAGUCGCGAGGCUAAGCUAAUCUCUUAAAGCUUCUCUCAGUUCGGAUUGUAGGCUGCAACUCGCCUACAUGAAGCCGGAAUCGCUAGUAAUCGCGGAUCAGCACGCCGCGGUGAAUACGUUCCCGGGCCUUGUACACACCGCCCGUCACACCACGAGAGUUUGUAACACCCGAAGUCGGUGAGGUAACC